UCGUCCCCUAAGUGCCUCUCGGAAGUUAGGCUCCUCCUCUUCUGUGAGGAAGUCCCGGCGGCGGAGAGGGUCCCCCCACAGCCCUCUCCCCUGCCGAGAGCCGCUGGCUUCCAGCUUUCCUGUUCCCGUGGCAACCACUGUUUGGGGGUAAACGGAUCACACGUCACGCCGCGGCAUGCCGGCACCCCAGAGCACCAGAGCAGCCAUGGGGCAAGGCUCAGGCUGGCUUCAGACGUCCCGCCGUGGAACCUGGAGCAUUUCUCAUCACUCCUGGGAGCCGGUGUGAGGUUCUCAAGAACCCGUCCAAGUUCACAUCCGUUGCUGGAGCGCCACACGGUGACUUAGAGGGACCCCUGCCCGACGGAUGGUCCAGACAUCACAUGGCUGAAAACGCUCCCUGCUUCUCCAGAGAAUGGGCAGCGCCUGCAGGGGCAGCGGGCACCUGCUGCAGGGGAGGGGCCCCAGGACAGCGAGGGUGAGGGCAGGGGCGAGGAAGAACCGAGAAGGUACUGUUGGGGGCGUCACAAGUCGUCGGAUACCGAGGCAUGAAUGCGAUGCCGGCACGAGACGCGCACGCGGCGAACCGGACUGCUGCCAAACCGACCACUGCCGAACCGGACCGCUGCCGAGGGACUCAGCGGAGCCAGGCACGCUGAGGGCUUUGUCCAGACCCAGGCAUGGAGCUCGAGGACCCGCGCAGGUUCCCGAGGGAGAGGAGCGUCAUCUGCUGUUCCCAAGGACCCUUUCUACCGUGCUCGGACUCCUGGCUCCUAGCCAGCUGAGUGUGACCCCUGGCCUCUGACCUCUGGGGAGCCAAACACCAAUGGCCAGUGACUGGGUUCAUUGUACCCACACAACGGAGAUAAAAACAUUUGGACAGUGA